UACGUAGGGCGCAAGCGUUGUCCGGAAUUAUUGGGCGUAAAGAGCUCGUAGGCGGUCUGUUGCGUCUGCUGUGAAAACUCGGGGCUUAACCCCGAGCCUGCAGUGGAUACGGGCAGACUAGAGGUAGGUAGGGGAGAAUGGAAUUCCCGGUGUAGCGGUGAAAUGCGCAGAUAUCGGGAGGAACACCAGUGGCGAAGGCGGUUCUCUGGGCCGAUACUGACGCUGAGGAGCGAAAGCGUGGGGAGCGAACAGG
rnacentral:rRNA from 1 species